rnacentral:rRNA from 1 species
UACGGAGAGUGCAAACGUUGUUCGGAUUCACUGGGCGUAAAGCGCACGUAGGCGGAUCUUUAAGUCAGGGGUGAAAUCCUGGAGCUCAACUCCAGAACUGCCUUUGAUACUGAGGAUCUUGAGUCCGGGAGAGGUGAGUGGAACUGCGAGUGUAGAGGUGAAAUUCGUAGAUAUUCGCAAGAACACCAGUGGCGAAGGCGGCUCACUGGCCCGGUACUGACGCUGAGGCGCGAAAGCGUGGGGAGCGAACAGG